rnacentral:hammerhead_ribozyme from 1 species
UGUCGAAACAGCGGAAUAAUCCGCUGUCUGCCGGAGGUGGUCUACCGGCACUGAUGAUGACAGACCGUG